rnacentral:lncRNA from 1 species
GCAACGCCGCGGGUUGGGGAUGUAAGGUCUGACCUUAAGCUUCAGCCCUCAAGGAGCUCACUCUCAGUCAAGUCAAGCAGGUCUUGGUCAGACACUACAGCUCGGGAGCUGUUGAGGGAUCCGUGUGGUGUAAGUGAGACAGGGGUGCUUCCAAAAGAGGCAAAGGAGAGGACAG